rnacentral:lncRNA from 1 species
GAGAAACACUAAGACUCAGCAGAUAAGGAUGGAGGCGACUCAACAUCACACUGAGACAGAUAUGAGCCCUGCAUUUCUGAAUGCCUUGAAAGAAAAACCAGCAAGUUGGGAGGGCCGUGUCUCCUUAUCAUCUUCCAGGAAUUCAAAACCGUGAUUUCCAGUUUCCAAAUGCAACUCAAGCUCCAUCACCCUGUACAUCUUGCACGGUUUCUCCAGCAUAUCCUGAUCGCCACCUCCAGACCCUUCUGAUAGAUUCAUUACCUGAAUCUAUUUGCUAUUUCUUUAUAUGAAUGCAAGAAUGGACUAACACACUGACCAUGGAACAUAGACAGAUGUGAGAAGAUCCAGAAAAGAUGCAGCUCAAUUAAUUAGAAAGGCCUCUGGAAUGGGCACAAGCCAGAUCCUGAACUCCUGCUCUCCCUUGGCUCAACCUCAUCACAGCCAGAAAGGAUGAGAGCUCUUUAAUGAAGUGCAUACAUGUCAGUUUCCCAGGACACAAACCAAAGUAAAGAAGAAUGGAGCAUGCUCCUAUAAAGGAAAAUAAAAGGAGAUCCAUAAAGCAAAUCCAACUCAUGGACACUUACUAAACAUGCACUGUGUUCAUGUAAUGGCUCCAAGAAUCUUAGUGGACAUGGACGGAAGUACACACCUGGAGUGGACCUACAGAAGCUCAGAGUCAAAUGGCAGAAAGAUGAUAUGGGCAUUGAAUACAUUAAAUGAAAAUAAAAGUAAUAAAUCACA